rnacentral:ncRNA from 2 species
AAAUAAGAAAAAGGGAGCUUUCAAAAAGAAGGCUGAGAGUAAGCUGUAUUGCUUUGACCUGUAACCUGAUUUGGAUAAUGCCAACGUAGGGAAAAAUGAAAGUUACCAC